rnacentral:rRNA from 1 species
CGUACGACUGGCGGCACGCCUAACACAUGCAAGUCGAACGCAGUAGCAAUACUGAGUGGCAGACGGGUGAGUAACAUGUAGGGAAUCUGCCUUGUGGUUCAGGACAACAUUGGGAAACCGAUGCUAAUACUGGAUAAGCCCUUACGGGGAAAGUUUUAAAUGCCAUAAGAUGAGCCCGCAUUUGAUUAGUUAGUUGGUGAGGUAAUGGCUCACCAAGACAAUGAUCAAUAGCUGAUCUGAGAGGAUGAUCAGCCACACUGGGACUGAGACACGGCCCAGACUCCUACGGGAAGGCAGCAGUGGGGAAUCUUGCACAAUGGAGGAAACUCUGAUGCAGCGAUUGCCGCGUGAAGUGAAGAAGGCCCUUUAAGGGGUUGUAAAAGUCUCUUUUUAACCAGGGGAUUGAUAAUCGACAGUACCUGGAGAAUAAGCUCCGGCUAACUCCGUGCCAGCAGCCGCGGUAAUCUGAUG